UGGUUUGAAAAAUGUCAACCCGUUCAGUUUUGGGUCGGAAAUGGGUUGGGCAGUUUAUGGGCCAAUGAACCCAACCCAACUCGAAUUUUUGAAAAAAAAAAAUCAUAGUAUUAAUUUUAUGGGCUUUAGACAAUUUGAAUUGGGCUUUUACUUUUCUCACAUAUAUAUUGAUAUAUAUUAUCUAACCCUAACCCUAAAAACAUAACACAACAUAAAAUACAUUCCCCUCAUCACCAUCCGCCUCCUACUUUCUCUUUCUCUCAACUCACUGCCCUCUCUCUCUCUCUCUCUCUCUCUCUCUCUCUCUCUCUCUCUCUCUCUCUCUCAGAGAAUGUUUGGAUCCGCCUCCUUCUCCGAUGCACGCACACGGCACAGAUAAGAGUCCACUCUCCUCCCAUUCCGUUCUCGCCGGAGUGUUUAAGCAAGGGUUGUCGCACACCACGCUACUUCGGCUCUCACUUUUCAUUGUCAGGUAACACACCAAAGGUCAAAGCAUCACCAAGGAGAAGAUUAUUGACAUUAUUAAUUGAUGUAUUUUUCAAGUUGAUCAUAUUUUGGACAAUUUAAUUAACUUUAGUCUUUAUUUUGAUUUGGAUGACUGUAAUAAUUGAUUUUUAACCUUUGAACUUUUGAUGAACUAUUGAAUUUUACAUUUAAUCAUGGAAAUUUAGCUCAAAAUUUUAAGUUUUAAUUAUAAAAAAUUAAGGGUUUUAACCCAACCCAACCCAAACCGAUUAAAAAUGGGUUGGGUUGGGUUGGUUUGUAAAUAAAUCUUAAUAUGAAUGGGUUAGAAUUUAAUAGGCCGAUCUCAUUGGGUUGGCCCACUAAAAUACCUUCAACCUGGCCAACCCAACCCAUGCACAGCCCUACUAGUAACAACUAAAUUAUAGCAUUCUACUUCAUAACCUUCAUAGGAUCCAUAUUCUUUAC